rnacentral:rRNA from 1 species
CUACGGGGGGCACCAGUGAGGAAUAUUGCACAAUGGGGGGAACCCUGAUGCAGCAACGCCGCGUGGAGGAUGACGCAUUUCGGUGCGUAAACUCCUUUUAUAUGUCAAGAAAAUGACGGUAGCAUAUGAAUAAGCACCGGCUAACUCCGUGCCAGCAGCCGCGGUAAUACGGAGGGUGCAAGCGUGACUCGGAAUCACUGGGCGCAAAGGACGCGUAGGCGGGUUGGAAAGUCAGGUGUGAAAUCCUACAGCUUAACUGUAGAACUGCACUUGAAACUUCUAAUCUAGAGUAUGGGAGGGGGAGAUGGAAUUAGUGGUGUAGGGGUAAAAUCCGUAGAUAUCACUAGGAGUACCUAAAGCGAAGGCGAUCUCCUGGAACAUUACUGACGCUAAGGCGUGAAAGCGUGGGGAGCAAACAGGAUUAGAUACCCCUGUAGUC